AUGAACCCGAGUGAUGGGGGCUCAGAGGAGUUGCCACCACCACCUGCUCUGCCCCCCGACAUGGUGCCCAUCAAAGCAGAAGAAGAUGUCGCUGAGGAACUGCCUCCAAACAAGCCUGCAAAGACCAAGAGGCUCCCAAAGGCCAGGCCCGGGCUUGGGAAGAGAGGGCAGACCAUCCAGCUACUUGCUAACCACUACAAAGUUUCCAUGAGGAGUUCAAAUGACUUUUUCCACCACUACCAUGUUAAUCUGAAGUAUGGGGAUGAUCAGCCUGUUGUUGGAAAGGAGAUAGUGCGAAAGGUGCUGGAUAAACUGCAGCAUAUGUACCGUUCCGAGCUUGCGAACAAUGAAUUUGCAUAUGAUGGUGAGAAGAGCCUCUUCACAAUUGAGCCUCUUUACAAUGAGUUCACUGUAGUGUUGGAAGACAUCGGAAGGGGAAAGUGUUCUGGAGGUAAUAGUGGCAGCAGUCCUGGAGGUAGUGACACGAAGAGAGUAAAGAGGUCCUACCAGACAAAGAUUUUCAAAGUGGAGCUUUGCUUUGUGGCGAAAAUCCCUACGGCCGCAAUCACGCAGGCCCUUAGAGGUCAAGAAUCAGAGAACUCUCUUGAGGCUCUUCGAGUUCUUCAUAUCAUACUGAGGCAGCAUUCUGCAAAACAGGGCUGUCUUCUACUCCGCCAGUCAUUUUUCCACAACAAUCCUCGUAAUUUUCUUGACUUGAAAGGUGGUGUGGUGGGGUGCAGAGGAUUUCACUCAAGUUUCCGUGGUACGCAGAGUGGACUCUCCCUAAACAUCGAUGUUUCGACUACCAUGCUAGUUAAACCUGGUCCUGUUAUUGAUUUUCUUCUUGCAAACCAGAUGGUUGAUCACCCUAACAGAAUUGACUGGUCAAAGGCCAAGCGUGCUCUCAAGAACUUGAGGAUAAAAACCACUCUUUCUAAUUCAGAGUUCAAGAUUUUUGGUUUGAGUGAGAAAAAAAGCAACGAACAGACGUUUCCAUUGAGGCGCAGGGAUGGUGACAAUGGAGACACUAAUACUGUUGAAAUAAAAGUCUAUGAAUACUUUGUACAUAAUAGAGGCAUAGGACUGCGCUAUUCCGAUCUUCCCUGUAUCAACGCUGGGAGGCGAAAUCGUCCUACGUACUUCCCUCUGGAGCUCUGCGAGCUCGUUCCUCUGCAAAGAUACACCAAAGAUCUGUCUAUUCUGCAGAGGUCCUCACUUGUGGAGAAGUCCAGACAAAAGCCUCAUGAAAGAAUGUCAAUACUUAACGAUGCACUUAAACGUAGCAAUUAUGAGUCUGACCCCAUGCUGAAGGCAUGUGACAUUUCCAUUGCCCGACAUUUUACUCAAAUUGAAGGGAGGGUCCUGCCAGCACCCAAGCUGAAAGCCGGUAACGGUGAAGAAUUCUUCCCACGCAACGGAAGGUGGAAUCUUUCAAAAAAGAGGCUGAUUCAGACAUGUUCUGUCAACAAAUGGGCAGUUGUCAAUUUCUCUGCAGAGUGUGAUGUUCAUGGUCUUGUCCGAGACCUUAUAAGGAUUGCAACUGAAAUGGGGAUUAAAAUAGAAUACCCUUAUUGUGAUGUAAUUGAAGAGAGCCCGUCGGCAAGAAGAGCUCCUGCGUCACGUAGAGUGGACGAGAUGUUUGCUAAGAUAAAUUCCAAUCCACCUGGAGACCCCAAGUUCCUCCUGUGCCUUCUUCCUGACAGAAAAAACUGUGAAAUUUAUGGGCCUUGGAAGAGGAAGUGUCUUGCUGAAUGCGGCAUCUUCACACAAUGUCUAGCUCCUCCAAGAAAAGUCAAUGAUCAGUACCUGAUUAAUGUGUUAUUGAAGAUAAAUGCUAAACUUGGUGGUCUCAACACAUUGCUGCAAUGUGAACUAUCCCCUGCACCUGCAGUACUACCCAUUGUGGGGAAGCUGCCUACUAUCAUCUUGGGCAUGAAUGUGUCACAUGGUCAGCCUGGGCAAUCUGAUAGGCCUUCCACCGCUGCGGUGGUUAAUUCUCGCGAGUGGCCUCUCAUCUCUAAGUACAGAGCAACAGUGCACACUCAAUCACCCAAACUAGAAAUGAUGUCCUCCUUAUUUAAACCAUGGGGAAAGGAUGAUGGUCUCAUUCGGGAAUCGCUUAUCGACUUCUACACUAGUUCUGGGAAUCGAAAACCAGAGAAUUAUUAUUUUCAGGUGGUUAAUUCUCGCCAGUGGCCUCUCAUCUCUAAGUACAGAGCAACAGUGCACACUCAGUCACCCAAACUAGAAAUGAUGUCCUCCUUGUUUGAACCACGAGGAAAGAAAGAUGAUGGCCUCAUUCGGGAUGGAGUUAGCGAAAGCCAGUUUACUCAGGUCAUCAACAUUGAGCUGGAGCAGAUCAUCGAGGCCUGCAAGUUCCGGACUGAAUCCCCAAAUAAUGUUCCUCCUGGGACCGUCGUGGAUAAAGAGGUCUGCCAUCCCAAGAAUUUCGACUUCUACAUGUGCGCACAUGCUGGGAUGAUCGGCACGUCGAGGCCAACACAUUACCAUGUUCUGCAUGAUGAGAUCGGCUUCUCCGCGGAUGAGCUUCAGGAAUUUGUGCAUUCACUUUCAUACGUGUACCAGAGGAGCACAACAGCGAUAUCAGUCGUUGCUCCGAUCAUGUACGCGCAUCUGGCGGCUGCACAGGUAGGCGCAUUCGUGAAGUUUGAAGACAUGUCGGCCGCGUCGUCGAGCCAGGGAGGGGGGCACACGUCGGCGGGCAGCAUCCCGGUGCCGGAACUGCACAAGAAUGUGAGGACCUCCAUGUUCUUCUGCUGA
rnacentral:rRNA from 1 species